rnacentral:misc_RNA from 1 species
CUGCCACAGCAGAACAACCCUAAAAAGCUUGUACGAGGAAGGAAAGAAAACACGAAUGCCCGCCAUCAAGUGGUCUUCGCCGGUGGUGCGGAAUGAGCUCAUGUCCCUGACGAGGCUGCCGGCGGAGAUGCAGCGGGCGGCGGCGGCGGCUGUCGCGGCGCACAAGAACGCGUAUUCCCCUUACUCGAACUUUUCCGUUGGCGCCGCCCUUCUCCACGACGACGGCAGCGUCACGGCCGGGUGCAAUUACGAGAACUGCACGCUGCAAUCAUGCUGUGCCGAGCGCUGCGCCAUUGUACGAGCCAACAUGGAGGGUCACCGGCGCGCGAACGCUGUGGCUGUGUACGGCCGCAGCUACGGCGCCGCCACCCCGACAAACCCCCCUCCGGCCGACGCUCUUUGCCCCCCGUGCGGCCUGUGCCGACAGCUACUGGUCGAGGUGGCCGACCUCUCCCAGAACUUUGAGGAGUUCAUGGUGGUUCUCGUCGCGCUUGAUGCACAGCGAGCUAAGGUAGUACGGCUGGCAGAUCUCGUGCCGGCGAAGUUUGGCCCGGCUGACAUGGGCAUGGACGUAACGCGGCUGGGCUGCCACCCCUCUGCAUAGCUGCGGUGGAGGACUCCUGAGGGCGAAGGAGGUGGCGCCGCCCCUUAGCCACCACAGAGCCUCUGGGCGUUGGCUCAGCAGCGGCUCGCCCUAUUUUCUUGAUGGCUCAUCCGCGCCAGCGCGUGCUCCUGCAGUUUGUCCUCCCCCCACCACACACACACACACACACACACACACACACGUGUGAGAGCCGGAGAAGGAGCGACGCUCACAGGAAGGCAAAGAAGAAGCAACUGCUGCCACACAACAGGAUGGAUAGUAGAUAUAGAG